CCUACGGGAGGCUGCAGUGAGGAAUAUUGGUCAAUGGUCGGGAGACUGAACCAGCCAAGCCGCGUGAGGGAGGAAGGUACAGAGUAUCGUAAACCUCUUUUGUCAGGGAACAAAGGCGGGGACGUGUCCCCGGAUGAGUGUACCUGAAGAAAAAGCAUCGGCUAACUCCGUGCCAGCAGCCGCGGUAAUACGGAGGAUGCGAGCGUUAUCCGGAGUUAUUGGGUUUAAAGGGUGCGCAGGCGGUCUGUUAAGUCAGCGGUCAAAGCCCGGGGCUCAGCCCCGGCCCGCCGUUGAAACUGGCAGUCGCGAGUUGGAGAGAAGUAUGCGGAAUGCGAGGGGUAGCGGUGAAAUGCAUAGAUAUCGCGCAGAACUCCGAUUGCGAAGGCAGCAUGCCGGCUCCACACUGACGCUGAGGCACGAAAGCGUGGGUAUCGAACAGGAUUAGAUACCCCAGUAGUC
rnacentral:rRNA from 1 species